UACGUAGGGUGCAGGCGUUAAUCGGAAUUACUGGGCGUAAAGCGUGCGCAGGCGGUUUGCUAAGACAGGUGUGAAAUCCCCGGGCUUAACCUGGGAACUGCGCUUGUUACUGGCAAGCUGGAGUGUGGCGGAGGGGGGUGGAAUUCCACGUGUAGCAGUGAAAUGCGUAGAGAUGUGGAGGAAUACCGAUGGCGAAGGCAGCCCCCUGGGAUAACACUGACGCUCAUGCACGAAAGCGUGGGGAGCAAACAGG
rnacentral:rRNA from 1 species